rnacentral:snRNA from 1 species
GUGCCUACUUUGGCAGCACAUCUACUAAAAUUGGAACGAUACAGAGAAGAUUAACAUGGCUCCCAUGCAAGGAUGACAUGCAAAUUCAUGAAGCGGUCCAUAUUUUU